AGGAUGAACGCUAGCGACAGGCUUAACACAUGCAAGUCGAGGGGCAGCAUAAAAGUAGCAAUACUUGGUGGCGACCGGCGCACGGGUGAGUAACGCGUAUGCAACCUACCUAUCAGAGGGGAAUAACCCGGCGAAAGUCGGACUAAUACCGCAUAAAACAGGGGCACCGCAUGGUGAUAUUUGUUAAAGAAAUUCGCUGAUAGAUGGGCAUGCGUUCCAUUAGGUAGUUGGUGAGGUAACGGCUCACCAAGCCGACGAUGGAUAGGGGAACUGAGAGGUUGGUCCCCCACACUGGUACUGAGACACGGACCAGACUCCUACGGGAGGCAGCAGUGAGGAAUAUUGGUCAAUGGGCGGGAGCCUGAACCAGCCAAGUCGCGUGAAGGAAGAAGGAUCUAUGGUUCGUAAACUUCUUUUGCAGGGGAAUAAAGUGCAGGACGUGUCCUGUUUUGUAUGUACCCUGAGAAUAAGGAUCGGCUAACUCCGUGCCAGCAGCCGC
rnacentral:rRNA from 1 species